rnacentral:rRNA from 1 species
ACAUGGCGAGACCGCGGACGGCUCAUUAAAUCAGUCGUGGUCCAUAUGGGCUAGAGUUUAUCUUACUUGGAUAACUGUGGUAAUUCCAGAGCUAAUACAUGCAACCUAUAUCCUGACGACGUGGGGGCGCUUGCGUCUCCGCACUGACGGAUGCUUUUAUUAGACCAAACCGCUGAGUGCGUGGCUCGCGCCACGUAUGACUCGUUUAAUGGUGACUCUGAAUAACCUUUCUGACAAGCGAACGUACCCCUCGUUGGGACGGCGCUGCCACUUUCGAGUGUCUGCCUUAUCAGCUAUCAACCGUUCGUUAUGUGCGACCGAUGGCUUUGACGGGUAACGGGGAAUCAGAGUUCGAUUCCGGAGAGGCAGCCUGAGAGACGGCUACCACGUCCAAGGACGGCAGCAGGCACGCAAAUUACCCAAUCCCAGCUCCUGGGGGAGGUAGUGACGAAAUCUAACGAUGCGGGCGCCCUUUCUGGGGCCCCGCAAUCGGAAUGGCCACUUUCUAAACAACCUGUUGAGAACCUACUGAAGGGCAAGUCUGGUGCCAGCAGCCGCGGUAAUUCCAGCUU